rnacentral:misc_RNA from 1 species
UUCGUCUUUACAUUUCUUCUUAUCAUUUCUGUCUACAUACAUACAUGUAUUCUGUGCAGUUUUAAAUUUAAUCCUAAUGCAGUGUUAUAUGGCAAUGAUCCUGCAUGUGAGAGAGCCCCUAAUAGGCUUUCAUUUAUAUACAGUACAGGGCGAAAAAAGAUAAGUAGCUACUCUACUGUUGCGUAGGUACAGUUUAGAGAGAAAAAAAGCUAAGUAGCGCAGAGUAGUUCCUACGAACUGCACUUUUCUUCCUACACAGCUCAUGCAAAUCAAAACGGUAGUAGUAACGAGCAGCUUUGCUUUCUUUACUCCUGUGCUACUCUACUCUACUGAUGUGCUGCGCAUGCGCUACUCAAUACUGCGCAUGCGCAUUAAUUUUCACCAGCCCGGUUACGACUCAGUGGAAACGAGUAGAAAUGAGUCUUAGAAAGCUGAUAAAAGACACCCAGAAGAAGACAAAUCGUAACUUCUUACUUUUUGAAAUACUUUAAGCAAGACGAUACUUAUUCUAUUAUGAAAGCAAACUGUGUAGAAGUUGAGCAGCUGGAAGCUGGUACCUCCUGCAGAGUAAGGGAUGGAAAGGACUUUCAUGAUGGCACAAUAGUCACCUUUGGAGAUAAGAAAGAUGUAAGUAAUGCAGCAGGUGAUAUUAUUGAGAAGAUUGAGAAAGAGUCAGCGGAGAAUUUGGAGAAAGAGUCAGCCAAGAAUAUGGAGAAACAGUCAGCUGAGAGUAUGAAGAAUGAGUCAGACUACAAAGCGUGGCACAAUAAAAAGGAAAGCUAAGAAAAGUACCACCGAAUAAAGAAACCUAAAAUAGGAAAAGGAAAGGAAGGUGAAGAAAUGCACAGUUAAUAUUGUUGCUGUUGGUUGUGCUACAAAUAAUGAAUCUGCUGCAAAUAAUGAAGCAACAAGCUUCAACACUGGAGAUCCUUCUAAGCAUAUUAGUAUCGAAGCAAGAAAACCUUCAGAGAGAAAAGAGGCAGAUUCCAGUGAAAGAAUUCUUUGUCAUACCCCUCCACCACUUCCACCACCACUUGCACUGGUGGAGCUUAAAACUCAAGCUGCAUGUAGUACUGAAACAGAGGUUAUAUACUGUCUCUAAUUAGAAGAAUGGAAAUUUUAGAAGAACAGAGUAUCAUGGUGCCAUCCCAAUUGGGUUGCUUAACAUACCAUUUCUUUGGAAAUACUAGCAUGAACACAAGGGCAGGUACUCUGCUACAUACAUGAACAGUAAUGGAAGUACUCCUAGUGCCCCAUCUGCUUGUAAUCUACCUCAGCAUACUGAUCCAGUAACUCCAACUAAUGAGCCAGUAAAGGCAAUCAUCACCAAUACUACUGUGCACACUGGUAAUAGAAGGAAAAUAGAUUUUAAUGCUCCUUUGUUGAAUCCUGAUACUGUGAUUAAUAAAUAUCCCAAACUAAAGACACUCUCUCAAGUUGGACAAUCAUCUGUAAGACUAGCUAGCAAAGUUUACUUUGGACCAUCACUUUUGAUUAAACGUAGUGUGUAUAGGCAGAAGGAGAACCCUCCUUUGCCAUCUGGUGCUCUAAUGAAGCUGAAGCAGAAGCUACUGGGAUUAUUCCAUCCACGUGAUAUUAGUACAAAGGAAGAAUUUUAGCUGUAUUAGUCUAAGUGUAUUCAAGCAAUAAAUCAUUACUCUUCAGGGCUUAGAAGCAAAUAUCCACCUGAUAUUAAGAAUCUAGAGUAGAAGGCUACACUGAGUAUAGUAUCAUAUAAGAUAAUAAAUAGUCUAACACAGUGACACUGUUGAUAUACAUGUAUAUAUAUUAUAUAUUAGAUAUAAUGAUAUAAAGAUGCAAAAGA